GGGGAGUACGCCGGCAACGGUGAAACUCAAAGGAAUUGACGGGGGCCCGCACAAGCGGAGGAACAUGUGGUUUAAUUCGAUGAUACGCGAGGAACCUUACCCGGGCUCAAACGACACAGGAACGGCCCUGAAAGGGGUCGGCUCUACGGAGCCUGUGUCGAGGUGCUGCAUGGUUGUCGUCAGCUCGUGCCGUGAGGUGUCGGCUUAAGUGCCAUAACGAGCGCAACCCCCAUCGACAGUUGCUAACAGGUUAGGCUGAGGACUCUGUCGAGACUGCCGGCGCAAGCUGCGAGGAAGGCGGGGAUGACGUCAAAUCAGCACGGCCCUUACGUCCGGGGCGACACACGUGUUACAAUGGCAGGUACAGCGGGAAGCCACCUGGCGACAGGGAGCGGAACCCGAAAGCCUGUCUCAGUUCGGAUUGGAGUCUGCAACCCGACUCCAUGAAGCUGGAUUCGCUAGUAAUCGCGCAUCAGCCACGGCGCGGUGAAUACGUUCCCGGGCCUUGUACACACCGCCCGUCAAGCCAUGGAAGCCGGGGGUGCCUGAAGUGCGCUGCCGCAAGGAGCGCCCUAGGGUAAAACCGGUGACUGGGGCUAAGUCGUAACAAGGUAACCGU
rnacentral:rRNA from 1 species